rnacentral:rRNA from 1 species
GCCCUACGGGACGCAGCAGUGGGGAAUAUUGGGCAAUGGGCGCAAGCCUGACCCAGCAACGCCGCGUGAAGGAAGAAGGCUUUCGGGUUGUAAACUUCUUUUCUCAGGGACGAAGAAAGUGACGGUACCUGAGGAAUAAGCCACGGCUAACUACGUGCCAGCAGCCGCGGUAAAACGUAGGGUGCAAGCGUUGUCCGGAAUUACUGGGUGUAAAGGGAGCGCAGGCGGAUUGACAAGUUGGGAGUGAAAACUACGGGCUCAACCCGUAACCUGCUUUCAAAACUGUCAGUCUUGAGUGGUGUAGA